AUUGAACGCUGGCGGCAUGCCUUACACAUGCAAGUCGAGCGGCAGCGCGGGGGCAACCCUGGCGGCGAGCGGCGAACGGGUGAGUAAUACAUCGGAACGUGUCCAGUUGUGGGGGAUAACCAGUCGAAAGACUGGCUAAUACCGCAUACGAUCUACGGAUGAAAGCGGGGGAUCGCAAGACCUCGCGCUAUUGGAGCGGCCGAUGUCCGAUUAGCAGUUGGCGGGGUAAAAGGCCACCAAGGCGACGAUCGGUAGCUGGUCUGAGAGGACGACCAGCCACACUGGGACUGAGACACGGCCCAGACUCCUACCGGGAGGCAGCAGUGGGGAAUAUUGGACAAUGGGCGAAAGCCUGAUCCAGCGAUGCCGCGUGUGUGAAGAAGGCC
rnacentral:rRNA from 1 species